UGGAAGGGGUGUAUUUAUUAGAUAAAAAACCAAUGCCUUCGGGCUUUUUGGUGAUUCAUGAUAACUAAACGGAUCGCAUGGCCUUGCGCCGGCGACGGUUCAUUCAAAUUUCUGCCCUAUCAACUUUCGAUGGUAGGAUAGUGGCCUACCAUGGUUUCAACGGGUAACGGGGAAUUAGGGUUCUAUUCCGGAGAGGGAGCCUGAGAAACGGCUACCACAUCCAAGGAAGGCAGCAGGCGCGCAAAUUACCCAAUCCCGACACGGGGAGGUAGUGACAAUAAAUACUGAUACAGGGCUCUUUAGGGUCUUGUAAUUGGAAUGAGUACAAUUUAAAUCUCUUAACGAGGAACAAUUGGAGGGCAAGUCUGGUGCCAGCAGCCGCGGUAAUUCCAGCUCCAAUAGCGUAUAUUAAAGUUGUUGCAGUUAAAAAGCUCGUAGUUGAACCUUGGGCCUGGCUGGUCGGUCCGCCUAACCGCGUGCACUGAUUCGGCCGGGCCUUUCCUUCUGGCUAACCCCAUGCUCUUCACUGGGUGUGGUGGGGAACCAGGACUUUUAC
rnacentral:rRNA from 1 species